rnacentral:rRNA from 1 species
CCAAUAGCGUAUAUUAAAGUUGCUGCAGUUAAAAAGCUUGUAGUUGAAUUUCGGGACUGAUAUAUCGGUCGUGCCUCGGUACGUACUGGUAUCUUCAGUUUCUCCCUUCUGACGAACCUUGAUGUCAUUAAUUUGGUGUCUUGGGGAAUCAGGACUGUUACUUUGAAAAAAUUAGAGUGUUUAAAGCAGGCUCACGCUUGAAUACAUUAGCAUAGAAUAA